CACACAGCCCCGCGCCGCACGGACACACAACCCGCCCAGUGACACCCGGGGACACACCAAACGGGAGACGGGCCGCAGCGGGAGCAACAAAGGAGCCCGGGCCGAGAAGACAUUUGGUAAUUCAGGCAGGAGCCAGUUUCUUUAUUGAUUUAUCUGGUACUUUCAGCUUCAUGCACCUGGAUUCUUGGGCAUGUCUCUGUGGCAAAAUGGAUAAAGGGGAUGAUUCCUUUUCAACAAGAAGAUCUCAACAACAAUGAGAUCAUCAAACCCGAGGCCCCAAGUGGAGACUUGGUUGAAUUAUCCGGUUUGGAUGACUGCACUGACCAGAUAAAGACAACAACUGCCAAAUAUUCCCUACAGUGGAGACAACGCUCAAGUGGGAAGAGUUGAACAGUAAUUGCUGACGAUGUGAACUCAGUUGUUUUUAUGAUCUUAUUUAACCUUUCCAACAACCCUCUAAGAAAUAAGCUUUUAUUGGACACCUACUGCUCACAGCCUCUGUGCUGGAUUCUGCGUGUACAUUUACUCUUGA